GGAGAGGUGUCCGAGUUGGUUGAAGGAGCUGGUCUCGAAAACCAGUGUGCGGGCAACCGUACCGUGGGUUCGAAUCCCACCCUCUCCGCCA
rnacentral:tRNA from 3 species